rnacentral:rRNA from 1 species
AGAGUUUGAUCCUGGCUCAGGAUGAACGCUAGCGACAGGCUUAACACAUGCAAGUCGAGGGGCAUCAUGAGGUAGCAAUACCUUGAUGGCGACCGGCGCACGGGUGAGUAACGCGUAUGCAACCUGCCCGAUACCGGGGUAUAGCCCAUGGAAACGUGGAUUAACACCCCAUAGUACUUUUAUCCUGCAUGGGAUGUGAGUUAAAUGUUCAAGGUAUCGGAUGGGCAUGCGUCCUAUUAGUUAGUUGGCGGGGUAACAGCCCACCAAGACGAUGAUAGGUAGGGGUUCUGAGAGGAAGGUCCCCCACAUUGGAACUGAGACACGGUCCAAACUCCUACGGGAGGCAGCAGUGAGGAAUAUUGGUCAAUGGACGAAAGUCUGAACCAGCCAAGUCGCGUGAGGGAAGACUGCCCUAUGGGUUGUAAACCUCUUUUAUAAGGGAAGAAUAAGUUCUACGUGUAGAAUGAUGCCUGUACCUUAUGAAUAAGCAUCGGCUAACUCCGUGCCAGCAGCCGCGGUAAUACGGAGGAUGCGAGCGUUAUCCGGAUUUAUUGGGUUUAAAGGGUGCGUAGGCGGUUUAUUAAGUUAGUGGUUAAAUAUUUGAGCUAAACUCAAUUGUGCCAUUAAUACUGGUAAACUGGAGUACAGACGAGGUAGGCGGAAUAAGUUAAGUAGCGGUGAAAUGCAUAGAUAUAACUUAGAACUCCGAUAGCGAAGGCAGCUUACCAGACUGUAACUGACGCUGAUGCACGAGAGCGUGGGUAGCGAACAGGAUUAGAUACCCUGGUAGUCCACGCCGUAAACGAUGCUCACUGGUUCUGUGCGAUAUAUUGUACGGGAUUAAGCGAAAGUAUUAAGUGAGCCACCUGGGGAGUACGUCGGCAACGAUGAAACUCAAAGGAAUUGACGGGGGCCCGCACAAGCGGAGGAACAUGUGGUUUAAUUCGAUGAUACGCGAGGAACCUUACCUGGGUUUAAAUGGGAAAUGUCGUAUUUGGAAACAGAUAUUCUCUUCGGAGCGUUUUUCAAGGUGCUGCAUGGUUGUCGUCAGCUCGUGCCGUGAGGU